CCUACGGGAGGCAGCAGUGGGGAAUAUUGCACAAUGGGGGAAACCCUGAUGCAGCGACGCCGCGUGAGUGAAGAAGUAAUUCGUUAUGUAAAGCUCUAUCAGCAGGGAAGAAAAUGACGGUACCUGAGUAAGAAGCCCCGGCUAACUAUGUGCCAGCAGCCGCGGUAAUACGUAGGGGGCAAGCGUUAUCCGGAUUUACUGGGUGUAAAGGGAGCGUAGACGGCAGUGCAAGUCUGGAGUGAAAGGCGGGGGCUCAACCCCCGGACUGCUCUGGAAACUGUACGGCUGGAGUGCAGGAGAGGUAAGUGGAAUUCCUAGUGUAGGAGUGAAAUCCGUAGAUAUCUGGAGGAACAUCAGUGGCGAAGGCGGCCUGCUGGACGACAACUGACGGUGAGGCGCGAAAGCGUGGGGAGCAAACAGGAUUAGAUACCCCAGUAGUC
rnacentral:rRNA from 1 species